UCCAAACAAGAUCAGGUACACAAACCAACAUGAUUUUCAUUAAACUGAAUAUUAUCCUUCCAAAUUGAUACGAAAUUGAAAAAUCAAGCAAACAAAUUUAAAAUUGAAGCCAAACAUAGUACUAAAAAGACAGAGAACGAAAGAUACUCUCAAUUAAGAACUUCUUUUUCGUAUGAGCCAUUCGUUGCAAUCGGUGAAGCUCGCUCCGGUUCUGAUCGCCCCCAAUAAACGUUUCCAAUGUCACCCCUCUAAGCUAUUUCAUCAGCUUGAAAUCUUUAACCUCCAGACGCUCUAACCCGAGAUCGAAUCUUCUGAAGUGCGACCCAUCGCAUGUUGAUGCUGGCUAUGUGCGUGUCUUAAGCCCCGUCGCUUAAACUCGAUCUGAUGUCGUCUGAAGUGUGAUCAGCAGAAGUUUUGGCGUAGUAAAACAGUUUCCAAGUUUGCGUUUUCAAAUGGAGGAGAGAAGAAGAAGAAACAAUGACGUCAACAAUAGAAGGGCAAAAGCGUCAUUGUGGAUACUAAGAAUGCCUAAAUCCGAAAGGCAUUUGACAAAGUGCCUAUAUCCGAAAGUCAUUCUAAGAUUAAUGGUUUUUUUUUUAAAUAACUCUUAUUUGUACUUACUACUGUACAAGCUCUCUAAAUAUUUCAUCAUCUUUUCUUCUCUAAUUAUCAUCAUUUAUUGACCAACUAACUCUGAAACACUAUAGGACGUAAAAUUAUAAAUAGAUUUCACUACAUUAUUAUGCAUGAGGAGUUUCUAUAUACAAAUAAUCUAAAUGGUAACAAUACACCUAUUGGAUUCGUAUAACUAAUGUUUUGUAAGAAUUAAAAUUUAAAUAUUGAGCGAAUAUAUAAGAAAGUUGCUUCCUAGAUUUAGAGAAAAUAACCAAAAUGUAUAGCCUUUUGUUUUACUUAAGACAUGUGAAUAUAAUUCUAAAUUGGUUGAACUAAGACAAUCAGCUAAGAACAUUAAAGAUAUUGGUUUGUAAAUGCCAAAUUGGCUUAUUGUUGGUGAGAAAAUAAACACAAAAUUAAGUUGGCAGAAUUUGUUUAAAAAUAAUUUGAAAAAAUACAGGGUAGUAAAUUCAACCAUACAAAAAAAAAAUGAGCUUACGAAGUAACAUUGUUACAUACAAUUUUUAAAAGAACACGUGAAGGAUGUAUUUUGCAAGGUUUUUCUUCUAAAUAAACUUUUGAAAGAAAAAAAUAUAAAAAUGAUAUAGCAGCAAAAAGGAAAACGACAUAUGUUUAUGGACAAAAGAAAUGUGGGAUAGUUAGUUUCGUGAAAACGACUAAUAAUAGACUACAUAGAGUAAAAGAUAUUGUCCACUCGUGAAAUCCACGAGCAUAAUGUUACCUUUUGGCCUGUUCUCAUGUUAUAUAUAUACUUUCUUUUUUUGUACUUUUAUGAAAAAUAUUAUUCCUCUCAGGAGAUUAUUAAUUAAUCAAUGAGUAAAUACACAUAUACAAGAAAUUAUACUUCAAGCUGAAAGUGAAAUGGAUCCAAUCUGGCUAAUAGCUUAUAGCCCGCCCGUUCUUGACAGAGAAGAGAACAUCAAUGAUUAUUAAAUCAACUUUUUCCCCCAUUUUUGUUGCUCUUUUCAUUAUAUCGUGUGAUACACAAAGUUUAGAACGAUACUUUUCUCCAUUUUUCUUGUUUUUUUUUCAUUCUAUCUUUUUAUGUUUUAUAAAAAGUUUAGAACGAGAUUUAAAUUUGCACGGUAGAAUCAUAUAGUUUGUCUCUUUCGGACACAGAAAACCAUGUGUAGUUUUAUGUUAUUUUGUCACAUUCAUGUAGUUUAGUAGUUACACUCGUUUACAAUUACGGAAAAACGGUCUAUUUUCCCCCGAGAACUAUCGCAUCAUAACAGAUGGAGCCCAAACUUUAACCCCGAUCCUAAUAUCCCUGAAAUUAAAGUUCAAUACCUAUUUCCCCCCGAAUCAAAAGUUCAAUUCUUAAAUCCCCCCGAAUCAAAAGUUCGAGAGUUACAACCCCACGGUUCUGGGUUUAGUCGGUUUACUGUAGUCAAAACCCAAAGCUAAACCAAUUAAAUGUUAUGUUAACCAGAAUAAACCCUAAUCUACCCAAUUUCGACCCGAUUUCACUCUUUUAACCAAAACCCACUACCCGAUUUCACUCUUUUAACCAAAACCCAUCAAAAUCGAAAACCGAAACCCUAAAAUCAGAACUUCAAAAAAUCCCCAAAUUUCCCGACGAACCCUAGAGAGAAAUUUAGAGAGAUCGAAGCUUCCAAUCUCUGGUGCUCUCAAUCGAAGGAUGGCUGUAGCCGUUCGUGACCCGAAUAUUGAUCCUAUUGGUGAUGUUGAUCCUGAAGGUGAAGACAGAGACCAAUUUCACAUCGAAGAAAUGUUGAAUGAGUGGACUGACGAACCUCAUAUUCGCCACGACGAGUACCCAGAGAGCGAUGCUGAAGAGAAUGGCGAUGGUCCUGAGAGAUUUCAUACCCAUAUCAGACGAGGUGAUGUAUGAAGUCAGGCAUGGUAUUGAUUCUCAUCGUGUGUGCUUGAAAAGCUACACAUGUACAUGCCAGAAGUGGCAGAUCUGUGGCAUCCCGUGUGAGCAUGCGUAUGGAGUGAUCUUGGACAAGAAGCUUGCACCAGAGGACUAUGUGUGUCAUUGGUUCAGGACAUCAACCUGGAAAAGGAACUACACUGAUGGUUUGUGUCCACAGAGAGGUCCUAAGUUCUGGCCUGAGACUAAUGCUCCUGCUGUCUUUAAUCCACAACCACCAGAAGGAGAGAAGAAGAUGACAAAAGAGGAUAAGAAGAGGAAGAAGGGUGUCAAUGAGUCUCCAACUAAGAAGGCAGCAAAGAGCAGGAAACGGAUCAUGCAUUGUGGCAUUUGUGGGAUAGCUGAUCACAAUUCUAGGGGAUGCCAGAAGAAAGCUAAGGUUUGUUUUAUGUUUUGAUCAAAUUUCAUUUAAGUUUAAGACAUAUGUUGCUUCUACUAACAUUCAUUUAUGUCUUACAGGCUUCUCAAUCUGUUUUGCAGCCUUCUCAACCUGAACCAAGUCAAGGUUCACUCACUCAAGCUUAAUCAAGUAGUAGCUAAGUAGAUGUAGGGCACUAAUGUGGUUGUCUCAUUCUAAUUUUCGAUCACAUAUGACUUGUGUAUCCCUCUGUUUUGUAAACCUUUUGAAUGUUUCGGAUGGAUGAUUGUUUCUUUGUUUUGUAAACCUUUUGAAUGAUUUAAAGAAUGGUUUAAAGAAUGUUUGUUUCUCUUGUUUUGUUUUGAAUGUUUGGUUGUCUGUUAUGACCAAUUCUUAAAAACACAUCAUGACCAAACUAACCCGUUUAUCCAAAACAAACAUCAUUCUCUUAAUACAAAACAAACACCAUUCUCUUAGUACAUAAUGUCUUGAUCAUAAAUCCAAACUCCAAACUACAAACACCAUUGUCUUAAUAAUAAAUCUAAAGCUAGAACCAAAACACAAACAUUCACCAAACACAAAACACAAACAUUCAAUGAUGUUUUCAAUGGUUCAUCCGACUAAUUUGUUGAAUCCAAUCAUGAUCAUACACCCUAUCACUACGACAAUCAUCAUCUUCUUACUGCUUCCUUUGGCUUCAGACAAAGCAUCUUCCACCUUCUCAAAUAUCUCCUUCUCUAUCUUCAUUUGGAUCUUCUCGCAAACGAUCUUUUCUACCUCCAAAGUCUGUGUUUUAAGCUCUUUUAGCUCAUGCUCAAGUUCACCUACCUUUUCUUUCAAUGUAUCUAUCUCAUUCAACAAGGCUUCAUCAACCCAUUUGAAUGUGUGUUCAUCAUUCCUAAGCUACAAAUUAACAAUCAUUGGUCCAUUAGCAGAAUCUAAAACAAGAUACAAUACAAAACAGUUGAAACAGAGGCAUGAAAUUACCCUAUGUUUUGCAGCAACACAACAACGAUAGUAUCUCCGGCAAGGAUUGGUAUCGGAUUUUGAAAUUAGUGCUACAAUAUCUUCUCCGCACCAACAUCUCUUCGGCACCCCGACGACUCUGCCUCUUCCACGAGGACCUGUAGAUCCCGUCGAACUCAAUGAAAUGUUGCUCAUCUUGCAACUCGAAUUCUGGGUUUGAAGUCGAUUUCGAAUUUAGGGUUCUUGAAAUUGGGGAAAAUGAUUUGGGGAUUUCGAAGUUUGGGGUUUAAUAGCAUUGGGUCGGGUUAUAAUAUGGAAUCGGUUUUUUUUGGUUAAGUUACGACCAAAAAUCUGGUUUGGUCUCGGGUUUACGCACCAAACCGACGAAACCCAGACACGGGGACAUUUAGAUGUUGAACUUUUGAUUCGGGGGGAAAUAGGUAUUGAACUUUAAUUUCAGGGACAUUAGGAUCGGGGUUAAAGUUUGGGCUCCAUCUGUUAUGAUGCGAUAGUUCUCAGGGGGAAAUAGACCGUUUUUCCUACAAUUACAUAUCGUAUAACUAAAAUAAACUAUUCUUAUAUUUUUUAUUGUAUCGGUGAACUGAAACAGAAAAAAAGUGCAUGAACUCAAUGUGGGUAAAUGAGGGGUAUUUGGAAGAAGGGAGAUUUAUAAAAAUAGGCACUUUUUAGGAGAGAGAUUCGGAAUUAGGCAUUACUAUAGAGAAAGGCACCACAGUACACACAAACAUCACUAUUUCUGACUCUUUUACCCCUGAUUGGUGGACGAGAGUUUGAGUUGUGGUUGAAGGGAUUUUGGGCAUGACGUCAGAGGAGAGAAAGUGUUCUCCUAAGCCGAACAGUGAUCACGGCGACAUCUCUGUGUCUUCUAUUCUGCUUUGUUGAAAACAUAAACAACUGAAAGAUUUCGUCGGAACUAGAUUUACGAAAACGGAGAUUAUUUUAACUCGGGUUCAAACUAACAACGAUGGCAUUCUUAGUGGUGGUGGAGAAGAUGUGAUGCAAUUAUCGACGACCGAAUCGAAGAAAGAAGAAUGAUAAUCUCUUUAUCGAUGAAGAUAUGAGAGGUAUGGGGAAGAACGCUUCUUGGAGUGUUCGCUCUUGCAAGCUCGGCUAUGGCGUCCCUUCUCUCCGUGGCUACAACUUGAAGACUCAUUUUUCCCUUUUUCUGGAUGUACAUCAAAUUGUCUGCAUCCACUCUGGGUUAACAUUCAAUUCCAGAAGACUAUAUUAAAGGGCAACAUCAUUAAGACAUAGUGAGUGUUCAAAGCUAAACCCUACAACCAAUGUAGAUGACUAAACCCAAGGGCAAUAUAUCUAACAGCUAGUGAGUGUUCAAAACUAAACCCUACAAGCAAUAGAGAAAACUAAACCCAAGAGAAACAAAUUUUACAGCGAGUUAGUGUUGAAGACUAUUUUUACUCAUUGAAACAUUUCAUCAAACACAUGAUAGGCAAUAACAGAUAUAAUCAUCAUCUAUCCAAAAAAAUAAAUCCAAACAAGAUCAGGUACACAAACCAACAUGAUUUUCAUUAAACUGAAUAUUAUCCUUCCAAAUUGAUACGAAAUUGAAAAAUCAAGCAAACAAAUUUAAAAUUGAAGCCAAACAUAGUACUAAAAAGACAGAGAACGAAAGAUACUCUCAAUUAAGAACUUCUUUUUCGUAUGAGCCAUUCGUUGCAAUCGGUGAAGCUCGCUCCGGUUCUGAUCGCCCCCAAUAAACGUUUCCAAUGUCACCCCUCUAAGCUAUUUCAUCAGCUUGAAAUCUUUAACCUCCAGACGCUCUAACCCGAGAUCGAAUCUUCUGAAGUGCGACCCAUCGCAUGUUGAUGCUGGCUAUGUGCGUGUCUUAAGCCCCGUCGCUUAAACUCGAUCUGAUGUCGUCUGAAGUGUGAUCAGCAGAAGUUUUGGCGUAGUAAAACAGUUUCCAAGUUUGCGUUUUCAAAUGGAGGAGAGAAGAAGAAGAAACAAUGACGUCAACAAUAGAAGGGCAAAAGCGUCAUUGUGGAU
rnacentral:lncRNA from 1 species